rnacentral:rRNA from 1 species
GACGAACGCUGGCGGCGUGCUUAACACAUGCAAGUCGAACGGACGAGUGAGAUAAGUUUACUUAACUCACAAGUUAGUGGCGGACGGGUGAGUAACACGUGGAUAAUCUACCUGCAACACCGGGAUAACGCUGUGAAAACGGUGCUAAUACCGGAUACGUUCCCUUGUGCGCAUGUAUGAGGGAAGAAAGCUCAGGCGGUUGCAGAUGAGUCCGCGGCUGAUUAGCUAGUUGGUGAGGUAAAGGCUCACCAAGGCGAUGAUCAGUAGCCGGCCUGAGAGGGUGAACGGCCACACUGGGACUGAGACACGGCCCAGACUCCUACGGGAGGCAGCAGUGGGGAAUCUUCCGCAAUGGGCGCAAGCCUGACGGAGCAACGCCGCGUGGGUGAAGAAGGCCUUCGGGUUGUAAAGCCCUGUCUUAUGGGAAGAAGUCAGUGACGGUACCAUAGGAGGAAGCCACGGCUAACUACGUGCCAGCAGCCGCGGUAAAAGUACUCUA